AAUGCCGCACACCGGAAGCCUGUUGUAAGCUGCCGCGCGCAAGAGGGCGAGGGGUGGGCUCCGCCAGGGAAAGAGUCUCCAAGUCGCAGAAUGCUAGGAGCUGCGCCCACCGUCUGGACGUCCUUGGGCGCCCAGAGCGAGUAGCUGAAGGAGAGCGGAAAGAAAGCGCCUACCACUCCCAGAGCGCUUCGCGCGGCCACCCCGCCCCACGGCCUGAGAGAUCCAACCCUUGGCCCCGGCCCUCUGCCCUUCACUGUGGCCCUGGGCGCUAGGCGCUUCCUCUGACACGUUACGGUGACUUGAGCAGCUUAACCUCCAUGUCUCUCUUCCCAACUGCAGACUGCAAUUCGUGCGCCCCCAGUUUGAAGGUUACUUCUGUCUCCGCAGUGUCAACCGUUCCCCUUUCCUGACCGGAACUUGCCAGGCUGACAAAUUCGGAGAUUUUGAAGUACCGUCCGACGCCCUCUUCUGGUCUCACGAGGACUGCACACGUGUACCGCACAAACAUACACAAAAACCACCCGGACACAUAAACUCAAGGCAGUUGAUAGUGCCUGCAAACCCUUCCCUGUCUGGGCUACUGUAUGAAGCAAGCAGGCAUGAGAAAAACUUGGCCUACAGAAGGCAGGUGGUAUAUAAAUAGCCUAUAAAGGGUCAUGAGAUUCCUGGCUAAGGACUCGAGUUUAUGCAUUUCUCCAGAUUACUAGCUCAUUCCCAACCUCCUGAGUGUCUUUGUAAAUUUUUAAAUAAAUUGCCUCAAUUGUUGACUAUGUA